rnacentral:rRNA from 1 species
CUACGGGGUGCUCCAGUGAGGAAUUUUGCGCAAUGGGGGAAACCCUGACGCAGCAACGCCGCGUGAGUGAUGAAGGCCUUCGGGUCGUAAAGCUCUGUCAAGUGGGAAGAAAAUACGAGAUGCCAAUACCAUUUCGUACUGACGGUACCACUGAAGGAAGCACCGGCUAACUCCGUGCCAGCAGCCGUCGGUAAUACGGGGGGUGCAAGCGUUAUUCGGAAUUAUUGGGCGUAAAGAGCGCGUAGGCGGCCUUUUAAGUCAGAUGUGAAAGCCCGGGGCUUAACCUUGGAAGUGCAUUUGAUACUAAGGGGCUUGAGUAUGGGAGAGGGAAGUGGAAUUCCUGGUGUAGAGGUGAAAUUCGUAGAUAUCAGGAGGAACACCGGUGGCGAAGGCGACUUCCUGGACCAAUACUGACGCUGAGGCGCGAAGGCGUGGGGAGCAAACAGGAUUAGAUACCCGCGUAGUC